GCGAAAUGCGAUAAGUAAUGUGAAUUGCAGAAUUCAGUGAAUCAUCGAAUCUUUGAACGCACCUUGCGCUCCUUGGUAUUGCUUGGAGCAUGCCUGUUUGAGUAUCAUGAAAUCUUCAAAGUAAAUCUUUUGUUAACUCAAUUGGUUUCUACUUUGGUAUUGGAGGUCUUUGCAGCUUCACACCUGCUCCUCUUUGUUCAUUAGCUGGAUCUCAGUGUUAUGCUUGGUUCCACUCGGCGUGAUAAGUUAUCUAUCGCUGAGGACACUGUAAAAGGUGGCCAAGGUAAAUGCAGAUGAACCGCUUCUAAUAGUCCAUUGACUUGGACAAUACUUUUAUGAUCUGAUCUCAAAUCAGGUAGGACUACCCGCUGAACUUAA
rnacentral:misc_RNA from 1 species